UAAUUUUGAAGACAUACCACAACAUGCAAAGAUAUAUUCAGACGGUCUCGGAGAAAUCAUGUCAACCUAUGAUAAUUCUACAUAACAGGCAUCAUCCUUGGAAUACAGUAUUAGAGAAUAACGAGGCCUUGACAAGGUCCUGGAACGCAUCACCACAUCUCCAAUCUUGGAGGCACAGAAGGUUCUCAUAAACCCAGUAUCGAGGGCAAUGUGUACAAGAGGAAAGAAGUUAUAUUCACAGAACCUAAUGUUGCAGUUAAUGGGGAAUGUUUGUCACGAGGACUCAGGAUCCUGGACAAUGCUCCAUCCUGUAGGUCUCUUCGUGGAUCCCUGUGUUGAUGAGGCGGAAUCUGGCACUGAUGGUUCAGGGUGUAAAGGC